rnacentral:rRNA from 1 species
GAUGAACGCUGGCGGCGUGCCUAAUACAUGCAAGUCGAGCGAACAGAUGAGGAGCUUGCUCCUCUGACGUUAGCGGCGGACGGGUGAGUAACACGUGGAUAACCUACCUAUAAGACUGGGAUAACUUCGGGAAACCGGAGCUAAUACCGGAUAAUAUAUUGAACCGCAUGGUUCAAUAGUGAAAGACGGUUUUGCUGUCACUUAUAGAUGGAUCCGCGCCGCAUUAGCUAGUUGGUAAGGUAACGGCUUACCAAGGCAACGAUGCGUAGCCGACCUGAGAGGGUGAUCGGCCACACUGGAACUGAGACACGGUCCAGACUCCUACGGGAGGCAGCAGUAGGGAAUCUUCCGCAAUGGGCGAAAGCCUGACGGAGCAACGCCGCGUGAGUGAUGAAGGUCUUCGGAUCGUAAAACUCUGUUAUUAGGGAAGAACAAAUGUGUAAGUAACUAUGCACGUCUUGAUGGUACCUAAUCAGAAAGCCACGGCUAACUACGUG